rnacentral:tRNA from 1 species
GUCUGUAGCUCAGUUGGUUAGAGCGCUGCACUGGAAUCACAGGGCCAUUGGUUCAAUUCCUACCAGAGAGCA